CGUCUGCCUGGCUGUGGGGUGACACGGGGCUUCGCCUUGGGAAGGGGUCGAGGGAAGCAGUUAGACGGCGGCCGGGCGGCGGCUGCCGCGCGGCACACAAUAUUUAUUUAAUUGCCCAACUACCACUGAUGAAGAUAUAUUGGAGUGACUGCUGAAAUUGCCUUUUUGUUUUUAACCAGAGGACAGUCCAUUUGUUUCACUUCUUUUUGCUUUCCUUACUGCUAUGAGCUUUACUGUAACGGCUGAAAAACUUGGAAAAUAAAAUGGACAUGCUGUAGUCUUGAACAUAAUUUUUUUAAGGAAAACUUAAAGUGCCAGAGUGAAAGCCAGAAUGGCAUCCAGAGAGAGGCUCUUUGAACUUUGGAUGCUUUAUUGUACAAAGAAAGAUCCAGAUUACCUGAAGCUGUGGUUGGACACUUUUGUUUCUAGCUAUGAACAAUUUUUAGACGUUGACUUUGAAAAGCUGCCUACCAGGGUAGAUGAUAUGCCUCCAGGAAUAUCUCUGCUUCCUGAUAAUAUUCUGCAGGUUCUGAGGAUCCAGCUUCUACAGUGUGUUCAGAAAAUGGCAGAUGGGUUAGAGGAACAACAGCAAGCCUUGUCAAUUUUGCUUGUCAAGUUCUUCAUUAUUCUUUGCAGAAAUCUAUCAAAUGUGGAAGAAAUUGGGACUUGCUCGUACAUUAAUUAUGUCAUCACCAUGACAACACUCUAUAUUCAGCAAUUAAAAAGCAAAAAAAAAGAGAAGGAAAUGGCAGAUCAGACAUGUAUUGAAGAAUUUGUGAUCCACGCAUUGGCAUUUUGUGAAAGCUUAUAUGAUCCAUAUCGGAAUUGGAGACAUAGAAUUUCAGGACGAAUCCUUAGUACUGUGGAAAAGAGCAGACAGAAAUAUAAACCAGCUUCUCUCACAGUGGAAUUCGUCCCUUUCUUUUAUCAAUGUUUUCAGGAAAGUGAACAUCUCAAGGAAAGUCUUAAAUGUUGCUUAUUGCAUCUCUUUGGAGCCAUUGUAGCCGGUGGGCAGAGGAAUGCUUUGCAAGCAAUUUCUCCAGCCACUAUGGAAGUUCUUAUGCGAGUAUUGGCAGAUUGUGAUUCCUGGGAGGAUGGAGAUCCUGAAGAAGUGGGUAGGAAGGCAGAACUAACUCUGAAGUGCCUUACAGAAGUGGUACAUAUCCUUCUCAGUAGCAACUCUGAUCAGCGUCAAGUGGAAACCAGUACUAUUCUGGAGAACUAUUUUAAAUUGCUAAAUUCAGAUCAUUCAGCUUUACCUAAUCAAAGAAGGUCCAGACAGUGGGAAAACCGAUUUAUUGCUCUACAGAUCAAAAUGCUGAAUACCAUCACAGCCAUGUUAGAUUGUAGAGAUAGACCUGUUCUUCAGGCCAUUUUUCUUAACAGCAAUUGCUUUGAACAUCUCAUACGACUGCUACAGAACUGCAAGUAGAGACCGGGUUUCACCAUGUUGGCCAGGAUGGUCUCCAUCUCUUGACCUUGUGAUCUGCCCACCUCAGCCUCCCAAAGUGCUGGGAUUACAGGCGUGAGCCACCGUGCCUGGCCGAGACAUAGCUUUUUAAUUAAAUGAUUUAUCUAACCAAUAUUUAUUGUGUACCAAUUGUGUAUCAGACACUUUUCUUUUGAGGUCACAAAAUAUAUGUUGUCUUCAUAAUGACUACUUUAUAAAUUAGGCACGAAGUUUCAGAGCGAGAGUUUCAGUUUAGUUCUUUUUGACUUCAUGGCCAUUAUUCCUAACUUUUACACCAUGUAAUGACCUAAAUGUUGAUUUUGGGUGUUUAUUUCCAUUCUUCUCUCCAAAUAUGUGAUAUGUUUGUAUAAUUUAAAUAAAAUUCAUAAAUGAUUUGGUGCCCUUUCAGGGUCAAAUAACAUUUUUUAUUACAAUUAAAGUAAUACAUACUCAUUGUAAAUGGAAACAUUGAUAGCAUAUUGAUUCUCCCAUACAAUAAUAAAUAUAUGAAUUCCAAAAUUGUUGCUCAUAGAUGAAAACUGGUAAUAAUUCCCAUACUUCCUAAUGUAAAAAUAUAUAUUUCUAUUAAUGAAAAAGUAAGAUCCCACAUCAAGCUGAAUAAUAUCAAUAGGAUACUUUUGUAAAUAUAUUUUUGAUAGCUCAAAAUCAUAUUAUAACAUUAAUACAAACAAAAUUUUGAAGCAACCAGCUACUUGAUAGCUUUUCCAUUAUCAGUGUUAACCUUUUCUGCAGUUGUUCAGAGGCUGUGGAAGUUAAUGCAGAUUUGUAGAAACCUUAAUAUGUUUGUAAGUGAAUUUUGCACAAUGUACAAUUAUAUUUUGUUGCAAAACAAUUUUGAUGCCAAAAUAUGAAAUAUGGAGAACAGACUUCUUGAAACAUUAAAAAAAAAAUUUGUUUCUG
rnacentral:sRNA from 1 species